GUCUUGUUAUCUCCAGCUCUCAAAUACUGUAUGUCAGUAGUAUAAAAAUCCUACCGCAAGAGUCGUCUGGCAGCUAGCUUUCAUCAAUCUAUUCGUUUACUGCACACAAGCGCUUGAGAUAUUCAUAGGCAAGUAUCAUGGAGGUUCCCCACGCUGACAUGCUGACAAAUCUUGGACCUAAUCCCCUGUAAAAUCCUGUCCAACCAUCCUCAGCAAUUAGCUGCUUAACUACUUGCCCUGCACUAGGUCUCUUAUCGUGUCCCAUCACCUGCAACCUAGUUUUAAUGGUGUCCAAUGGAGUUGUUAUGCAAGAUGCAGUAGCACCGGCGAUGAUCCCACCAGCAGCUUGAACUGACACUAUUUUCCCCUGGCUGGGAGCAGGCCCACCAUGCUCAGUUCCAUUAUCCAAGAGCUUGCUCCAUAUGAAGCGCUGGCUCGAACCAUAACUUGCCCACCAUACA
rnacentral:misc_RNA from 1 species